GUGGAUUAGAUACCCUGGUAGUCCACGCAGUAAACGAUGAAUACUAGCUGUAUGCGAUAUACUGUAUGUGGCAAAGCGAAAGCGUUAAGUAUUCCACCUGGGGAGUACGUUCGCAAGAAUGAAACUCAAAGGAAUUGACGGGGGCCCGCACAAGCGGAGGAACAUGUGGUUUAAUUCGAUGAUACGCGAGGAACCUUACCCGGGCUUGAAAUGCAGAAGACCGAUCGGGAAACCGAUUUUCCAGCAAUGGCUUCUGUGUAGGUGCUGCAUGGUCGUCGUCAACU
rnacentral:rRNA from 1 species